GAUGAACGCUAGCUACAGGCUUAACACAUGCAAGUCGAGGGGAAACGACAUUGAAGCUUGCUUCGAUGGUCGUCGACCGGCGCACGGGUGGGUAACGCGUAUCCAACCUGCCUCUGACCAAGGGAUAACCCGUCGAAAGUCGGCCUAAUACCUUAUGCAGUCGUCGGAAGUCAUCUGAUGACGACGAAAGAUUUCAUCGGUGAGAGAUGGGGAUGCGUCUGAUUAGCUUGUUGGCGGGGUAACGGCCCACCAAGGCAACGAUCAGUAGGGGUUCUGAGAGGAAGGUCCCCCACAUUGGAACUGAGACACGGUCCAAACUCCUACGGGAGGCAGCAGUGAGGAAUAUUGGUCAAUGGGCGAGAGCCUGAACCAGCCAAGUAGCGUGCAGGAUGACGGCCCUAGGGGUGGUAAACUGCUUUUAGGCGGGGAUAAAGUGAGGGACGUGUCCUUCAUUGCAGGUACCGCAUGAAUAAGGACCGGCUAAUUCCGUG
rnacentral:rRNA from 1 species